rnacentral:rRNA from 1 species
GAUGAACGCUGGCGGCGUGCCUAACACAUGCAGGUCGAGCGAUCUUCUUCGGAAGAGAGCGGCGGACGGGUGAGUAACGCGUGGGUAACCUGCCCUGUACACACGGAUAACAUACCGAAAGGUAUGCUAAUACGGGAUAACAUAAGAAAGUCGCAUGGAUUUCUUAUCAAAGCUUUUGCGGUACAGGAUGGACCCGCGUCUGAUUAGCUAGUUGGUAAGGUAACGGCUUACCAAGGCGACGAUCAGUAGCCGACCUGAGAGGGUGAUCGGCCACAUUGGAACUGAGACACGGUCCAAACUCCUACGGGAGGCAGCAGUGGGGAAUAUUGCACAAUGGGCGAAAGCCUGAUGCAGCAACGCCGCGUGAGCGAUGAAGGCCUUCGGGUCGUAAAGCUCUGUCCUCAAGGAAGAUAAUGACGGUACUUGAGGAGGAAGCCCCGGCUAACUACGUGCCAGCAGCCGCGGUAAUACGUAGGGGGCUAGCGUUAUCCGGAAUUACUGGGCGUAAAGGGUGCGUAGGCGGUCUUUCAAGUCAGAAGUGAAAGGCUACGGCUCAACCGUAGUAAGCUUUUGAAACUGUAAGACUUGAGUGCAGGAGAGGAGAGUGGAAUUCCUAGUGUAGCGGUGAAAUGCGUAGAUAUUAGGAGGAACACCAGUUGCGAAGGCGGCUCUCUGGACUGUAACUGACGCUGAGGCACGAAAGCGUGGG